rnacentral:rRNA from 1 species
CAGCUCUCCGAGUGGUAGGGAUGAUUAUUGGGCUUAAAGCGUCCGUAGCCGGCUUAGCAAGUCUCCUGUUAAAUUCAGCGACCUAAUCGUUGAGCCGCGGGAGAUACUACUAGGCUAGGAGGCGGGAGAGGUCGACGGUACUUCUGGGGUAGGGGUGAAAUCCUAUAAUCCCAGGAGGACCACCAGUGGCGAAGGCUGUCGACUAGAACGCGCUCGACGGUGAGGGACGAAAGCUGGGGGAGCAAACCGGAUUAGAUACCCGAGUAGUCC